AACGAACGCUGGCGGCAUGCCUAACACAUGCAAGUCGAACGAGACCUUCGGGUCUAGUGGCGUACGGGUGCGUAACGCGUGGGAACCUGCCCUUAGGUUCGGAAUAACUCUCCGAAAGGGGUGCUAAUACCGGAUAAUGUCUUCGGACCAAAGAUUUAUCGCCUUUGGAUGGGCCCGCGUUGGAUUAGCUAGUUGGUAGGGUAAAAGCCUACCAAGGCGACGAUCCAUAGCUGGUCUGAGAGGAUGAUCAGCCACACUGAGACUGAGACACGGCCCAGACUCCUACGGGAGGCAGCAGUGGGGAAUAUUGGACAAUGGGCGAAAGCCUGAUCCAGCAAUGCCGCGUGAGUGAUGAAGGCCUUAGGGUUGUAAAGCGCUUUUACCCGGGAUGAUAAUGACAGUACCGGGAGAAUAAGCUCCGGCUAACUCCGUG
rnacentral:rRNA from 1 species